rnacentral:rRNA from 1 species
AUUGAACGCUGGCGGCAUGCUUUACACAUGCAAGUCGAACGGUAACAGGCCGCAAGGUGCUGACGAGUGGCGAACGGGUGAGUAAUGCAUCGGAACGUGCCCAGUCGUGGGGGAUAACUACUCGAAAGAGUAGCUAAUACCGCAUACGAUCUAUGGAUGAAAGCGGGGGACCGUAAGGCCUCGCGCGAUUGGAGCGGCCGAUGUCAGAUUAGGUAGGUGGUGGGGUAAAGGCUCACCAAGCCAACGAUCUGUAGCUGGUCUGAGAGGACGACCAGCCACACUGGGACUGAGACACGGCCCAGACUCCUACGGGAGGCAGCAGUGGGGAAUGUUGGACAAUGGGCGCAAGCCUGAUCCAGCAAUGCCACGUGCAGGAAGAAGGCCUUCGGGUUGUAAACUGCUUUUGUACGGAACGAAACGGCUCUGGUUAAUACCCGGGGCUAAUGACGGUACCGUAAGAAUAAGCACCGGCUAACUACGUG